UAUUAGAUAUUAAUGUUGAACUGUUGAACGAGUUGACGGAUUUAAAUGGCGACCAUCAGAGAUAGUAAACUAUAUUCCAUUCAAUAAAUUGUUAAAAGAAGCCAGAUAUUUCAAUCUAUAAACGUCAAUAAAUAACUCAGGAUAUCGCUAUUUCGGAUUUUCAUAAAUAUUUUGGAGUUAUGGUGAUAAAGUGACUCUGAAUUAUUAUUCAUCGUGAAGAGUAUUCUUUUGAAAAAUAGUGUAAUCAUCGUGGCACGAGGGACGUAAAAAAUAAAAAACGGACUGUGUGAAAAUUCACAAUGAUAAGAGAGAAAAUCAUUUAUCACUUUUUGUACACAUAACUGAAUGUGUCUAGGCGCGAAGACGCGUUAAAUUACUUUGUGAGAAUGAUGAGUCUUCGUCACCUUUCCGGAGGGUGUGAAACUGGUAAAAACAUACGUUUAUUCUGAAUCCAAACGUGUCAAUAAUAAAUAAAAUGAAAAAUAACGCUAAUUUAAAUGGCGCAUAAUCAUAAGACAGCUCAGUACCCUCCGAUAAUAAAGUUUCUUUAAAAGGAUCGGCGAAAGGAGCUUUUGCAUAGCACAUAACCUGACUAGUAUGAUUUCUGACUUCACGUGGCACUUUUCUCACCGCUUGGCAAUCUGUUUGAGGCCGGGAGACAAGGGAGAAUUCACCCCUCGGGGGCUCCAAAAUGGAUAGGCUCACAACCGAGUUUUCAGCUCGCCAAAUGCGUCAAGCUUUACUACAUACACCCUCUACUUUCUCUAAACAAGACCGCCGCAAAAAAACCCAAGUGACUACGGUCUAUGCAAAGGCAUCAAUUUCAACCCAACAUAAAGUUCAAAUAAAAAAAUUUUGUAAAAACAAGGAACAAAAAGUUUAAGUAUCAAAAGCAACUUUUAUUUCAUCGUUUAAAUUUUAUCCAUAAAAUAUGUAUUUUUCAUUUAUACAUUUAUUGCAUGUCUUUAAAUUUCCUGUUUCCCGUGAAUAU